AUGCCCUCUCCCUCCCUUCCAGCCGGUGCUGCCAUGGCCUCGACCCUGGCCGCCCUUCCCCCCGGGCUCCCACCGUCGCCACCUCCAAUCCAGACCCCUCAUCGCCACUUCAGCCCACGGACACCAAACCUGCAGGCGCUCUCGUCCGAAACCCCCUCCGCCUCCGCCGCGGCGUCGCUCCUCGCCGCCGCCGCGCGCGCCGGCGACCUCCGCCUCGGCCGCGCGCUCCACCGCCGCCUCCUCGGCACCGAGGUCCUCGACACCGACGCCUUGGUCGCCAACUCGCUCCUCACCAUGUACUCCAAGUGCGGCCACGUGAGCGCCGCGCGCAGGGUGUUCGACGGAAUGCGCGGCCUGCGGGACCUCGUGUCCUGGACGGCGAUGGCCUUCUGCCUCGCGCGAAACGGCGCGGAGCAGGAGGCCCUGCUCCUCCUCGGCGAGAUGCUCGAGUCGGGGCUCCGGCCCAACGCGUUCACGCUCUGUGCCGCGGCUCGUGCCUGCUUUCCGGGGGAGCUCUUUCGCCUGUCUGGCGCCGUGGUCCUUGGGUUUGCGCUCAAGACGGGGUUCUGGGGCACCGACGUGUCGGUGGGCUGCGCAUUGAUUGAUAUGUUUGCGAGGAACGGACACCUGGUGGCAGCACGGAAGGUGUUUGAUGGGUUGGUUGAGAGGACAGUGGUCGUCUGGACGCUGAUGAUUACACGGUAUGUGCAAGGCGGGUGUGCAGGCAAGGCGGUUGAAUUAUUUCUUGGCAUGCUAGAAGAUGGUUUUGAGCCCGACGGAUACACCAUGAGCAGCAUGAUUUCGGCAUGCGCAGAGCAGGGAUCGGUCAGAUUGGGGCAGCAACUGCAUUCUCUAGUACUACGGCUGGGGUUGGUUUCUGAUACUUGUGUGAGCUCUGGACUAGUGGACAUGUACGCAAAAUUGCAAAUGGAACAGUCCAUGGAAUGUGCAAGGAAAGUCUUCAAACGAAUGCCCACACAUAACGUUAUGUCAUGGACAGCACUGAUAUCAGGAUAUGUGCAAUGUGGAGCACAGGAAAACAAUGCAAUAGAACUCCUCUGCGAAAUGUUAAAUGAGAGCAUCGAACCAAACCACAUCACAUAUUCUAGUCUUCUUAAGGCCUGUGCAAACCUUUCUGAUCAAGAUUCAGGCAGACAGAUUCAUGCCCGUGUCAUGAAAACCAGCAUAGGGAAUGUAAACGUUGUUGGGAAUGCUCUGGUCAGCAUGUAUGCUGAAUCUGGUUGCAUGGUGGAGGCUAGAAAGGCGUUCGACCAGCUUUAUGAAAGCAACAUACUUUCCACCAGUUCUGAUAUUGGUGGAACUGAGAGCAGCAAUGCCUCUUGGAGUUCUCAGAUUGAGAGCAUGGACGUCGGAGUCAGCACCUUCACAUUUGCUAGUCUGCUUAGUGCUGCUACCACUGUAGGGUUGCCAACCAAGGGUCAGCAACUGCAUGCGCUUUCAAUCAAAGCAGGCUUUGAGUCUGAUAAAGGUAUAAGCAACUCCCUUGUUUCCAUGUAUUCUAGGUGUGGAUAUUUGGAUGAUGCUUGUCGAGCAUUUGAUGAAAUGGACGACCGUAAUGUGAUUUCAUGGACUUCAGUAAUCAGUGGCUUAGCCAAGCAUGGGCACGCGGAACGAGCGUUGUCAUUGUUUCAUGACAUGAUCUUAUCCGGUGUCAAACCAAAUGAUGUCACAUACAUUGCUGUGUUAUCUGCCUGUAGCCAUGUUGGUCUGGUGAAAGAAGGAAAGGAAUACUUCAGAUCAAUGCAGAAGGAUCAUGGACUCAUACCGAGGAUGGAACAUUAUGCUUGCAUGGUGGAUCUUCUUGCACGAUCAGGUCUUGUUCAAGAAGCCCUGGAGUUCAUUAAUGAAAUGCCCUGUAAAGCGGAUGCAUUGAUUUGGAAGACUCUGCUCGGUGCUUGUAGGACUUACGAUAGUAUUGAGAUUGGUAAAAUUGCAGCUAAUCAUGUCAUAGAUCUCGAGCCGCGAGAUCCAGCUCCAUACGUCCUUCUCUCAAACUUGUAUGCCCAUGGUGGUUUAUGGGACGAAGUUGCAAGAAUAAGGAGUCUGAUGAGACACAAGAACUUGAGUAAAGAAACUGGCUUGAGUUGGAUGCAUGUUGGAAAUACCAUUCACGAGUUCAGAGCUGGUGACACCGGCCAUCCGCAAGCACAAGAGAUCUAUGCAAAGUUGGCUGUGCUGAUCAGAGAAAUUAAAGACAUUGGCUACGUACCAGACACAAGCAUCGUGUUCCAUGACAUGUCGGAUGAGCUCAAGGAGGAGUGUCUGCUCCAGCACAGCGAGAAGAUUGCUGUGGCAUUUGGUUUGAUUACUACAUCGCCAACAAAACCAAUAAGGAUCUUUAAGAAUCUCCGUGUGUGCGCAGAUUGCCAUUCUGCAAUCAAGUAUAUCUCUAAAUCGACUGGAAGGGAGGUAAUAUUGAGAGAUAGCAACAGGUUCCAUAGGAUGAAAGAUGGGAAAUGCUCAUGCGGGGAGUACUGGUGA
rnacentral:rRNA from 1 species